rnacentral:rRNA from 1 species
GACGAACGCUGGCGGCGUGCUUAACACAUGCAAGUCGAGCGCGAAAGGGGGAGCAAUCCCCUAGUAGAGCGGCGAACGGGUGAGUAACGCGUGGGUGAUCUACCUCCGAGUGGGGAAUAACCCCGGGAAACUGGGGCUAAUACCGCAUGACAUCCCUGAGUCACAUCGGGGAUCAAAGCCGGGGACCGCAAGGCCUGGCGUUUGGAGAUGAGCCCGCGUCCGAUUAGCUAGUUGGCGGGGUAAGGCCCACCAAGGCUUCGAUCGGUAGCCGGCCUGAGAGGGCGGACGGCCACACUGGGACUGAGACACGGCCCAGACUCCUACGGGAGGCAGCAGUGGGGAAUCUUGCGCAAUGGGCGAAAGCCUGACGCAGCGACGCCGCGUGAGGGAUGACGGCC